UCACAUUGAAAAUUAGGAACG
rnacentral:piRNA from 1 species